rnacentral:rRNA from 2 species
UUAGGUUAAGUUAUGAAGGGCGCAUGGUGAAUGCCUUGGUACUAGGAGCCGAUGAAGGACGGGACUAACACCGAUAUGCUUCGGGGAGCGGUAAGUACGCUUUGAUCCGGAGAUUUCCGAAUGGGGAAACCUAAUCAGCUUAGUUGCUGAUUGCUUGACUAGUGAAUACAUAGCUAGCAAGAGGUAGACGCAGUGAACUGAAACAUCUUAGUAGCUGCAGGAAGAGAAAGAAAUAUCGAUUCCCUGAGUAGCGGCGAGCGAAAAGGGAAGAGCCCAAACCAACAAGCUUGCUUGUUGGGGUUGUAGGACUGAACAUUAGAGUUACCAAAGUGCGACGUAGUCGCAACAGUUGGGAAGCUGUGCCAUAGAGGGUGAAAGCCCCGUAGACGAAACGUCACACUCUCUGUUCAGGAUCCUGAGUACGGCGGGACACGUGAAACCCCGUCGGAACCCGCGAGGACCAUCUCGCAAGGCUAAAUACUCCCUAGUGACCGAUAGUGAACCAGUACCGUGAGGGAAAGGUGAAAAGCACCCCGGAAGGGGAGUGAAAUAGUUCCUGAAACCAUGUGCCUACAAGCUGUCGGAGCCCGUUAAUGGGUGACGGCGUGCCUCUUGCAGAAUGAACCGGCGAGUUACGAUUGCAUGCAAGGUUAAGGUGGAAAAACCGGAGCCGUAGCGAAAGC